UUCCGGUUGAUCCUGCCGGACCCCACUGCUAUCGGGAUAGGACUAAGACAUGCUAGUCGUGUGCCUCAGCCAAAACGAGGCACGGCGCACAGCUCAGUAACACGUGGCUAACCUGCCCUUAGGACGAGAAUAACCCCGGGAAACUGGGGCUAAUGCUCGAUAGGUGAAGAACUCUGGAAUGAGUCUUCACUUAAAAGAGUCUGCGUUAUGCUCGUAGAUUUCGCUUAAGGAUGGGGCCGCGACCGAUCAGGUUGUUGGUGAGGUAAUGGCUCACCAAGCCUUUUACCGGUGCGGGCCGUGAGAGCGGGAGCCCGGAGAUGGGCACUGAGACAAGGGCCCAGGCCCUACGGGGCGCAGCAGUCGCGAAAACUUUGCAAUACACGAAAGUGUGACAGGGCUAUCCCGAGUGCCAUCCGCUGAGGAAGGCUUUUACCCAGUCUAGAACGCUGGGGGAAUAAGGAGAGGGCAAGUCUGGUGUCAGCCGCCGCGGUAAUACCAGCUCUCCGAGUGGUGUGGAUGUUUAUUGGGCCUAAAGCAUCCGUAGCUGGCUAAGUUAGUCCCCUGUUAAAUCCAACGAAUUAAUCGUUGGAUCGCGGGGGAUACUGCUUGGCUAGGGGACGAGAGAGGCAGACGGUAUUUCCGGGGUAGGGGUGAAAUCCUAUAAUCCCGGGAAGACCACCAGUGGCGAAGGCUGUCUGCUAGAACGCGCCCGACGGUGAGGGAUGAAAGCUGGGGGAGCGAACCGGAUUAGAUACCCGGGUAGUCCCAGCUGUAAACGAUGCAGGCUAGGUGUUUGGACGGCCACGUGCCGUUCUAGUGCCGCAGGGAAGCUGUUAAGCCUGCCGCCUGGGGAGUACGAUCGCAAGAUUGAAACUUAAAGGAAUUGGCGGGGGAGCACCACAAGGGGUGAAGCUUGCGGUUUAAUUGGAUUCAACGCCGGA
rnacentral:rRNA from 1 species